UACGUAGGUGGCGAGCGUUGUCCGGAUUUACUGGGCGUAAAGAGCUCGUAGGCGGUCUGUUGCGUCCGCUGUGAAAACUCGGGGCUUAACCCCGAGCCUGCAGUGGAUACGGGCAGACUAGAGGUAGGUAGGGGAGAAUGGAAUUCCCGGUGUAGCAGUGAAAUGCGUAGAGAUCAUGAGGAAGACCAGUGGCGAAGGCGGGUCUCUGGACAGUUCCUGACACUGAGACACGAAGGCCAGGGGAGCAAACGGG
rnacentral:rRNA from 1 species